GUCGAGCGAACAGACGAGGAGCUUGCUCCUCUGACGUUAGCGGCGGACGGGUGAGUAACACGUGGAUAACCUACCUAUAAGACUGGGAUAACUUCGGGAAACCGGAGCUAAUACCGGAUAAUAUAUUGAACCGCAUGGUUCAAUAGUGAAAGACGGUUUUGCUGUCACUUAUAGAUGGAUCCGCGCCGCAUUAGCUAGUUGGUAAGGUAACAGCUUACCAAGGCAACGAUGCGUAGCCGACCUGAGAGGGUGAUCGGCCACACUGGAACUGAGACACGGUCCAGACUCCUACGGGAGGCAGCAGUAGGGAAUCUUCCGCAAUGGGCGGAAGCCUGACGGAGCAACGCCGCGUGAGUGAUGAAGGUCUUCGGAUCGUAAAACUCUGUUAUUAGGGAAGAACAAAUGUGUAAGUAACUAUGCACGUCUUGACGGUACCUAAUCAGAAAGCCACGGCUAACUACGUGCCAGCAGCCGCGGUAAUACGUAGGUGGCAAGCGUUAUCCGGAAUUAUUGGGCGUAAAGCGCGCGUAGGCGGUUUUUUAAGUCUGAUGUGAAAGCCCACGGCUCAACCGUGGAGGGUCAUUGGAAACUGGAAAACUUGAGUGCAGAAGAGGAAAGUGGAAUUCCAUGUGUAGCGGUGAAAUGCGCAGAGAUAUGGAGGAACACCAGUGGCGAA
rnacentral:rRNA from 1 species